rnacentral:rRNA from 1 species
UGGGGAAUAUUGGGCAAUGGGCGAAAGCCUGACCCAGCGACGCCGUGUGGGUGAUGAAGGCCUUCGGGUUGUAAAGCCCUGUUGGGUGGAAAGAAGGGUUCAGAGACGAAUAAUCUCUGAGCUUUGACGGUACCACCAGAGAAAGCACCGGCUAACUCCGUGCCAGCAGCCGCGGUAAUACGGAUGGUGCAAGCGUUGUUCGGAAUUACUGGGCGUAAAGGGCGCGUAGGUGGUUGUGUAAGUCAGAUGUGAAAUCCCCAGGCUCAACCUGGGAACUGCAUCUGAUACUGCAUGACUUGAGUGCAGCAGAGGGAAACGGAAUUCCUGGUGUAGAGGUGAAAUUCGUAGAUAUCAGGAGGAACACCGGUGGCGAAGGCGGUUUCCUGGGCUGACACUGACACUGAGGCGCGAAAGCGUGGGUAGCAAACA